GGCACCUGCAGCAUAUGGAGGUUCCCAGGCUAGGGGUCGAAUCAGAGCUGUAGCCACCAGCCUAUGCCACAGGCACAGCAACACAGAUCCGAGCUGCACCUGCGACCUACACCACAGCUCACAGCAAUGCUGGAUCCUUAACCCACUGAGCGAGGCCCAGGAUCGAACCCACAACACUCAUGUUUCCUGGUUGGAUUCGUUAACCACUGAGCCACGACAGGAACAACCUUAUCUUCAGCAGUGAGGCCUUCCAGGGAGGCUACAUGGGCCUGGGAAGGAAAGGGAGAGUGGAGAGUGUUCUCUGAGGAAGCCACAGGAGGACUGGCAAAGGGCGGACGGCUCAGGGAUACUCUAUUAGCUCUACCUUGAUCUGGGCAACUGUCUCCAGGCCGGUCACUUCAAGAGCAUGCAGCUCCCAGACGUGGACAAACAGCUGUAUCUUGGCGACCUGACAGAGAAGAGUGAGGUCAGGAGCGGGGAGACGUAGGGGGAGAGGGGUGGGAGUACAGGACAGUUCUUGGGUCCGAAGGGCGCUUGUGCAGCGGACCGCAUUCUUAGGAGAAUCGUGAGGCAGAGCUGGCCAGAGCCCGUAGGAGGGGCACAAGCGGGGCAGGUCAGGACCUGCUUCCUGGUCCUCGGAGCCCUGCAGCCGUCAGUCCCUCAGGUUUCACGGUUCCGUUCUACCAGGAUCUUACCUGGACCCUGUCUUGCGACGCCGCUGUAACCGUGGAAACACAACUCAGAAGCGGGCGCGAACACAUCCGCCACUAGGGGCGCAGUGUGUCCCUGCCGCGAGCCUUCUCACGCCUUCCACUGGGGCCACACCCCCUCCUUUUGCCACGCCCCUCCACGAUCUGCGCAGGCGCGGGCACCGGCCUGGGCGCCGAGGCUUUCGGAGGGGUUGGCCAAGGUGGCUGCGCGCGUGUUCCGUCCGACGCUUGGUGAGCUGGAAAGUUGGCUCCCUGCCCGACUGUGGACCGCGGGAAAUGAUGGGAGCCGCUAGGUCUAGCACUCUUAGGAAGGCCCAGAUUUUUGUCGGGACCUCGGAACAAUGAGUUUUUCUCCUUCAAGAUGACAUUUUUAAAAGCAGAGACAGGGUUUUGGGGCGCACAGGGUAGACGGUAUGACGUGGCUUCAGGUGUGGCUAGCAGAGGUUUUCGCCCAGGAUGGGGAGGCGGCGGAGGUCACAGUUGGCCGCAGCUACUGAAAGCACAUUUGGUGCGGCUGCCUUAUUUCACUUAGGCAGGGGGAAGGAGGCUGGUGUGGAGGUGAAACUGCCCGGAUCGGUGGGUCCCAGAGCCUCGGUGCCCUAGCUUUGCAGUCCCUUUCUUGUAACCUUCAGGCCUAGUCCAGCACUGGACUCUGGUUCUGGAAAGAGAAAUACNNNNNNNNNNNNNNNNNNNNNNNNNNNNNNNNNNNNNNNNNNNNNNNNNNNNAAUUGUAGAAAUCUACAACUCAGAAUUUAAGCCUCCCCAGCCCUAAAUUUCAGUGAAGCUGGGUAAAAAUAACUAGGUAAGUUGGUCCCAGAAAAAUAGACUUAAAUAUUGAAAACUUUAAAUCUUGGCCUUGUGUAAUGGUUCAGACUUUGUAGCCAGACUGAGUUCAAAUCUCAGCUCUGUUCUGUAUGGCUUAUAAUGUUAUGACCUUGGACAAUUUUCUUUUUCUUUUUGACUUUUUAGGGCCAUACCUGCAGCAGGCUAGGGGUCGAGUAGGAGCUAUAGGUGCCAGCCUACUCCACAGCCACUGCAAUGCAGGAUCUGAGCCUGAUCUAUACCACAGCUCAUGGGAACGUGGGACCCUUAACCCACUGAAUGGGGCCAGGGAUUGAACCCAUGUCCUCAUGGAUACUAGUUAGGUUCAUUACCACUGAGCCAGGACGGGAACUUCUGCAGUUAGCUUCUUUAACCCACUGUGCCACAGCGGGAACUCCUCAUCCCUUUUUUUCUUCCUUGUAUGCCAGCAGCAUCCCAGAGCCCUCAAAGCACAUACUGUGUCCCAUCCUUUAUUUGGGAGUGGAGGUGUUGAGAGUGUGCCAUGGCUUGUAGAAGUUCCUGGGCCAGGGAUCAAACCUGCACCAUAGCAGUGACAACACUGGAUCCUUAACCCACUGUGCCCCCAGGGAACUCCUGCUGUGUCUUGAGUGCUAGCACCUCCACUCCAUGUGAGCCCAGGAUAUGGGGGUAGCGUGAAGGCUCUCGGGGACCUCCAGGUGCACUGUGAGGACAAUAGCAUCCAGCACCUUUGCCCUUGGCAUUGGUGGAAGAGCCCUACUCCCACACCUCAUGGUCUGCUGACUUGGCUGGGUGGGAAUGGGAUCUAUGGUGAGAUCCCCCAGAGCAGGCAUCCCUCCUCCUGGGGAGGAGACAGAGGGCAGAUGGGGAAAGGUGAAGCACCCAGAAGACCUCAGUGGCAGGAUGCCCCCAGCAGGCCUGUUCUUGGCCUUGCCUCUCUUCCAUCCCUACUGGACAGGUGGCAUAAUGAGAACAUGGGCUUCUCUGGGUCUGAUUCUGGCCCUGCCACUCACUGCUGGUGUGACCUGACCUGGGUUAAUCACUAGCCUCUAUCAAACUCAGUUUCAGCAAAAUAGAGAUAAUCCUACACUGGACUUCAGAGGGCUCUUGGGAGGAUAAAAUGAGGAUGCACAUAAAUCACUUAGAACUCUGCUCCUUUGUUUCAAAGAUUUUCCUGAGCCUUCCUGCCCUAAAGAAGGGAGAUGUCAGCCCGAGAGUCACCUAAAGACCCACUGCAGCUGCGGUGCUGGGCUCUUCAUUUAUCCGUGCGUUUCUGCCUCCGUGGGGGGUGCUUUCAGAGGUGCAGGAUGUUCCCCCUCGUCUGCAGUGACCACCCACACCAGCUCCAUGUGAGAAGGGGGUAGCAGCUGGUUACUGGGUGGUGGUUCAGGCUUCUG
ensembl:lncRNA